UACGGGGGGGGCAAGCGUUGUUCGGAAUUACUGGGCGUAAAGGGCUCGUAGGUGGCCAACUAAGUCAGACGUGAAAUCCCUCGGCUUAACCGGGGAACUGCGUCUGAUACUGGAUGGCUUGAGUGUGGGAGAGGGAUGCGGAAUUCCAGGUGUAGCGGUGAAAUGCGUAGAUAUCUGGAGGAACACCAGUAGCGAAGGCGGCUCGCUGGGCCAUUCCUGACGCUGAGACGCGAAAGCUAGGGGAGCGAACAGG
rnacentral:rRNA from 1 species